rnacentral:lncRNA from 1 species
AUGGCGACAGCUGAGGUACUGAACACUGGUAAAAAAUUGUAUGAGGGUAAAACAAAAGAAGUCUACGAAAAGUCCUCCUGCAGUCCAAGGACAAGAUUACAGCAGGAAAUGUAGCUAGAAAGAAUCACCUGGAAGGAAAAGCUGCAAUCUCAAAGAAAAUCACCAGUUGUAUUUUUCAGUUAUUAUAGGAAGCAGGUAUUAAAACUGCCUUCACCAGAAAAUGUGGGGAGACAGCUUUCAUUGCACCCCAGUGCGAAAUGAUUCCAAUUGAAUGGGUUUGCAGAAGAAUAGCAACUGGUUCUUUUCUCAAAAGAAAUCCUGGUGUCAAGGAAGGAUAUAAGUUUACCCACCUAAAGUGGAGUUGUUUUUCAAGGAUGCUGCCAAUAAUGACCCACAGUGGUCUGAGGAACAGCUGAUUGCUGCAAAAUUUUGCUUCGCUGGACUUGUUACAGGCCAGACUGAAUUGGAUAUCAUGAGUCAUGCUACACAGGCUAUAUUUGAAAUGCUGGAGAAAUCCUGGUUGCCCCAGAAUUGUACACUGGUUGAUAUGAAGAUUGAAUUUGGUGUUGAUGUAACCACAAAGAAAUUGUUCUUGCUGAUGUAAUUGACAAUGAUUCCUGGAGACUCUGGCCAUCAGGAGAUCGAAGCCAACAGAAAGACAAACAGUGUUAUCGGGAUCUCAAAGAAGUAACUCCUGAAGGGCUCCAAAUGGUAAAGAAAAACUUUGAGUGGGUUGCAGAGAAAGUAGAGUUGCUUUUGAAAUCAGAAAGUCAGUGCAGGGUUGUAGUGUUGAUGGGCUCUACUUCUGAUCUUGGUCACUGUGAAAAAAUCAAGAAGGCCUGUGGAAAUUUUGGCAUUCCAUGUGAACUUUGAGUAACAUCUGCGCAUAAAGGACCAGAUGAAACUCUGAGGGUUAAAGCUGAGUAUGAAAGGGAUGGCAUUCCUACUGUAUUUGUGGCAGUGGCAGGCAGAAGUAAUGGUUUGGGACCAGUGAUGUCUGGGAACACUGCAUAUCCAGUUAUCACCUGUCCUCCCCUCACACCAGACUGGGGAGCUCAGGAUGUGUGGUCUUCUCUUUGACUACCCAGGGUCUUGGCUGUUCAACCACACUUUCUCCAGAAGGAUCAGCUCAAUUUACUGCUCAGAUAUUUGGGGUAGACAACCAUUUAGUAUGGAGCAAACUGUGAGCAAGCAUUUUGAACACAUGUAUUUCCUUGAAGCAGGCUGACAAGAAAAUCAGAGAAUGUAAUUUA